rnacentral:misc_RNA from 1 species
UAUGAAGAACGCAGCGAAAUGCGAUACUUGGUGUGAAUUGCAGAAUCCCGUGAACCAUCGAGUCUUUGAACGCAAGUUGCGCCCGAAGCCACUAGGCCGAGGGCACGCCUGCCUGGGCGUCACACGUCGUUGCCCCCCACCAUCUACUCCUUCGGGAUUGCGGGGGGCGGAUGAUGGCCUCCCGUGCGCCUAGCCGCGCGGUUGGCAUAAAUACCAAGUCCUCGGCGACGCACGCCACGACAAUCGGUGGUUGCGAAACCUCGGUUGCCCGUCGUGUGCGUUCGUCGCGCAUCGAGGGCUCGAAAAAAUGCUCGGCUCCGGCUCGGCUUUCAACGCGACCCCAGGUCAGGCGGGGUUACCCGCUGAAUUUAAGCAUAUCAAUAAGCGGAGGA